rnacentral:rRNA from 1 species
AUUGAACGCUGGCGGCAGGCCUAACACAUGCAAGUCGAACGAGUGGCGGACGGGUGAGUAAUGUCUGGAAAACUGCCUGAUGGAGGGGGAUAACUACUGGAAACGGUAGCUAAUACCGCAUACCAUCGGAUGUGCCCAGAUGGGAUUAGCUGUUAGGUGGGGUAACGGCUCACCUAGGCGACGAUCCCUAGCUGGUCUGAGAGGAUGACCGUCCACACUGGAACUGAGACACGGUCCAGCCUCCUACGGGAGGCAGCAGUGGGGAAUAUGUCACAAUGGGCUCAAGCCGGAGGCAGCCAGGCCGCGUGUAUGAAGAGGGCCUUCGGGUUGUAAAGUACUUUCAGCGGGGAGGCGUUACCCGCAGAAGAAGCACCGGCUAACUCCGUGCCAGCAGCCGCGGUAAUAC